UUUGAGUAUUAAAUUUUAUUAUAUUUAACAGAUUAUGUAAUUUUUUUUCAUGUUCUGUAAUUUAUUAGUGUACAUGUUCUGUAAUUUAUUAGUGUACAUGUUUUUUAAUCUUUUUUCUCAUGUUCUGUAAUUUAUUUUUCCUGUUCUGUAAUUCAUUCUUUUAUAUAAUAUUAUUUAUUUUCAUUUUUAAAAAGUCCAAUGUGUUUUGUAUUUUAUUUAUGUAAAUGUUCUGUAAUUUGUUUCUCAUAUUCUGUAAUUCAUAUUUUAUAUUUAGUAAUUUUUUGUGUGAUAUAAUUUGUUUGUAACUUUUUUUAAGUAAAACUAAAUUUGUUAAUUAAUAAAUAAAGAUACAUGCAGGAUCCUCUAAAUCAUGUGUUGUAUAUUAGUUUUUUGUAAUUGAAAAAUCAUUUGUACAUGUUGUAGAUAACUG
rnacentral:lncRNA from 1 species